UGGGAAUUUUGGACAAUGGGCGCAAGCCUGAUCCAGCCAUGCCGCGUGCGGGAAGAAGGCCUUCGGGUUGUAAACCGCUUUUGUCAGGGAAGAAAUCUUCUGAGUUAAUACCUCGGGAGGAUGACGGUACCUGAAGAAUAAGCACCGGCUAACUACGUGCCAGCAGCCGCGGUAAUACGUAGGGUGCAAGCGUUAAUCGGAAUUACUGGGCGUAAAGCGUGCGCAGGCGGUUUUGUAAGACAGAGGUGAAAUCCCCGGGCUCAACCUGGGAACUGCCUUUGUGACUGCAAGGCUUGAGUGCGGCAGAGGGGGAUGGAAUUCCGCGUGUAGCAGUGAAAUGCGUAGAUAUGCGGAGGAACACCGAUGGCGAAGGCAAUCCCCUGGGCCUGCACUGACGCUCAUGCACG
rnacentral:rRNA from 1 species